rnacentral:rRNA from 1 species
CCUACGGGUGGCAGCAGUGGGGAAUAUUGCACAAUGGGCGCAAGCCUGAUGCAGCCAUGCCGCGUGUGUGAAGAAGGCCUUCGGGUUGUAAAGCACUUUCAGCGGGGAGGAAGGCGGUGAGGUUAAUAACCUCAUCGAUUGACGUUACCCGCAGAAGAAGCACCGGCUAACUCCGGUGCCAGCAGCCGCGGUAAUACGGAGGGUGCAAGCGUUAAUCGGAAUUACUGGGCGUAAAGCGCACGCAGGCGGUCUGUCAAGUCGGAUGUGAAAUCCCCGGGCUCAACCUGGGAACUGCAUUCGAAACUGGCAGGCUAGAGUCUUGUAGAGGGGGGUAGAAUUCCAGGUGUAGCGGUGAAAUGCGUAGAGAUCUGGAGGAAUACCGGUGGCGAAGGCGGCCCCCUGGACAAAGACUGACGCUCAGGUGCGAAAGCGUGGGGAGCAAACAGGAUUAGAUACCCGGGUAGUC